rnacentral:lncRNA from 1 species
ACAUUGUUUUACCUACAGCACAGUGCCCCCUCCCACUCAGGGAAAGGGAAAAGCACAUCUCAUUGUGUCCUGCUUAUGACCAUAGGAAUGAUGUGUUCACGUGGAAGGGAAGGGAGUCUUAAAAACCACUAGAGUAAGGAAGGAAACAGGCCUCUUCAGCACCUUUGGAACUUAGUGGGAACUAAUUGGCCUUAAGUAAUGUGCAUUUGGCUUGGCAGUGACAAGAAUAUGUGCCUAUGACCGAUGUUGCUGUCACUAAGUACAUGAUGGACCUCCAAAGGGAUCCAGGCCCCGGUCUACCUUUGUUGAUGCUUCUCCUCUCAAGAGAAAGCUUUUCUUUUGAUCAAAGUGCACAGAAGGAUAUGUGCCAAUGACAUGUAUUAGACCACGUCCUUGAAUGAGAAGUCAUGGUGGAGAGGCAAGGCUGGGGAGACCAGGACUUCCUGUCGGCUGCAGCCAGCACUCCAUGUAGGAUCCUGACUCUGCCUCUUUGACCUUGAUCUUGAGAUGGCUCAUGUUUUAGACUCUGCUGACCUUGCAGAUGAUGCAGAGUGGGGGUGAGAAUACAUCCACAGAGGAAAGCCUGGUGCAGCCAGCUCAGGUAGCAUUUUCCCUUCAGGCCACACCUCCUUCCUGCCUUUCUUUCCCAGGUCCUUCCUGUGCUGGCUGUGUCCAUCUGCAUAGUCUUGCAGUUGGUGGGAGAAGCCAAUUCUCCAUGGCCUCAGAGCUUUUGCUGCUCAUAACCAGCGGGCUUUUGUCAGCUUUGCAUCCAUGUGGCUGAUGACCUAUUCUGGCCAUGUCUUGGAAAGCAAUGACAAGUGACACAGAAAAAUCCGAGUUUUCAGCUAUCUUCAUAGGAAUAGUAAUCACUGUGGCUGUUCUUAAAAAUUUCCCCACUCUGACACCUUUGUCUUCGAUCCCUAAUAAUUUAUAGAAAUGCCCCCGGUUGUCAUUGAAGCCGCCUGUUUCUAACCCACUCACGGAACUCACGGUGAUGGUAGUUGACUUGGUCCUCCUUGCCAGCAUGGUGCUGCAUGCUGUCAUGUCUGCACUCGGAGGUGAUUAGAACAGUCCUGCUCAGAAAUCAUGGUAGCUUAGCACGAUUCCUUAGAGAUCGAGAGAAUACCUUCCCAGGGAGUGGCAUGAAUUGCACGUGGGAAUGGGGGAUUGCUCAAAGCUCAGAGUCAGGUUCUCCAGUAGCCCAUUGUCAUUAUUAAUACAUUUCUGACUGAGGAACAGAGAAUUAGCUUGCUUCUCCUAGUCUUCCUGUAAAAUUUCAGAACUUCUAAAUAACAGGGAAUACUGAUGUCUGUUUGGCCCACCUCCUCAUCCACGUGACUGUUGUUGGAACACAUUCAGGGGCAGGGAUGUCUUUGCCAAAAACUUGGUCCAUUUGGGCUCUUUGUGUUGGAUUAUAUCUCCCUCCCUAGAGCUUUUAGCAAUUGGACUUAGUUUUUUCCUCUGUAUGAGCCCCCUGCACUGAUAGAUGCAUUAGUUCUUCCUGGGAAAAUAGAAAUUUAGUUUUUCAAAAUGCAUCUAUCUCUAGAUGGUUCUUAAAGAGUGGUGCCCAUCCUAUGAAGAGGUAGGGGAGGGAAAAUCCUCUAUUGUGGGGGAAUGUUCCCAGGGCUUGUAUAGGCAGUGGGUUUUCCCUCUCAGAAGGCCAGGUCUGUUGUUCUCAGCUGCAGGAGGCUGGGGGAAUUUGCAGAUAGGGAGCCACAGGAAAUCUAUUGUCUCACAAGUAUCCAUGAACUCUCUCCAUCCUCUAUCCAUAUAGGUUAACUUACAAGUGCUUCUUAAGGGUUGAAACUACUUCCUUCUGGCUUCUGUGCUCUCCCUGUGUGCCAUUUUGAUGGAUAGUAAUUUUUUUCCACAAUGUAAGCCAUUUUGACAUGAAGAGUGUGCUUUUCCAAGGCACUUUGGACUGAUCGUUUGCCAUCCGCCUUUGACAAAGCUACAUAUUAUCAGAAAUACCAAAGGAGCAGCUCGACUCUCCACCAUAACUCACAUUAACUCACUCGGCAUAUUAGGCCCUGAAAUUCUAAUACCUCAUUUUCAUGACAAAUGACGCAACAAGAGCCCAAAAUGGCUGCCAUGAAUUUCAUUGCUGACUGAGGCCACAGGGGAGAAGAACAAGCAGACCGCUUAACCUCUCUGCUCUCCACAAAGUCACAGGAGGAUAAGAAGCUGACCAUGCAUUAAGGCUGCCACUUCCUUGGCCUUGGUGCCUGCCCUAGUGACUUUGAGUGGAUUGGAUUCUGAAGAUAUGAACCCAUCAAGAAAACAGGGUUGUAAUGGUUACAUCUGAUACUAUCUGGAAAUGGUCUCUGGAUGAGGGCCUGAUUGACAGCCUCUAGAUAAAGGGGUCUUCUCCCUAACACAUCAACCAUGUGCUCUCUAGGGGAUGGCUGAGGGCAUUGUGUUUCCCAGCAGUUUGUGAGCUUUCAUUUUAUACACUUGAUAUGCAAUUAGCAAUAGGAUUCUGUGUUUGCCUUAAGCCUAGAGAAACAUAGAGGAACUUCUGACCCUCAUGGAAGGUACCCUAGCAGCAAAACCACAAGAGUUUUGUGUUUGUCAAGCUUUUUCACAGAAAACAGAACUGGUUGGAUAUAUGUGUGUGUGUGUGUGUGUGUGUGUGUGUGUGUGUGCAUAUGCACACAUGUAUAUGCAUGCAGGAUGAAGACUCAUAUUCUGCUUCUUCUCAGCCCUCUGAUCCUGUCCUGGGUUCUGGAUGAGGUUGCUUAGAAUUGAGGCCUCUGGUUGGGUUGCUUUACUGUGCUUAGUCUUAUGGUUAGGGAAAGUCUGAGAACUUCAAUGCACUAUGUUAAGCUUUGUUGAAUGCAUGACUUAAUUUAAUUCUUCUAACAUGCUUAUACAGUAGAUACUAUAAUCAUCAAUUUAAGAAGUAAAUAGUUCCUUCACUGUUAAAGUGCAUAGAGUUUUAUGUCUGAUGUCUUUUUCCUGGUGGGUAAUCUCUCAUGACUAGCAUGAUUGCAAAUGGUGUGUGAGCCAUGGCUGGUGGCAUAAGGGCUUGUAUUGUUUGUUUACUCUUUACAGAAACACAGCAUCAGAGAGUAGUGUCCCUUAGCUCUGUCUUAAUGAAGUCCUAAAUGGCAAAGACACUGUGUGGCUAACAAUUCUACAGUCCCAAAAGCAUUUACCAGGUCAGCAAGUCAUUCAGCUGGGGAAGAGAAUGAAAUCUAAGGAAGAGAGAAACAGUGUAGGGAGGGAGGAUGGUGUAUCUCUAGAACACUAAGAAGGGGCUGUGGCCUCAGUGUUAUUCAGACUACCAGGUUUAGAUUCUAGAGAUAUAAUUACACAUGGUUCAGCUUUGAUCCUUAAGUCAGACCAAGAGCACAGGCAGUCACAGCACAGUGUAAUGUGUCAUGCAAUCAUGGUGUCCUGUAAGAGAGGCUUCUAAUCCAGCCUGGUGAGUCAAGAAUGUUUUCCAGAACAGUGACAGCUAGGUGAAAUUUCAGAUGAUGACAAGGUCCCAUUCUCCAUUGCUAAACUGACAAUGAAUGUGCUAGGUACCACCCUCCAGUCUCAUCACAUUGAUGUAUUAAUGGGUUCCAUGAAAACUCACAGUUGAGUGCUUUGGAACAGUGGACACUUUCUUCAUCACCAGUCUCAGCUCUGUUCUACCACUGUCUGACAUAUGUGUUCAUGCUUUCCCAUGCACACCUUCUCCCUGGAGACAUACAAACACACAUGUGUGUAUUUCAGCUUGGGGAUGCUUGCAUAUCUUUUCUCAUUUGGUGGCUAUUCUUUGAAGGCUUGAACUCAUGGCAGAAGAACUGUUUAAUAGCCAUGGCAUGAUGGGACCUAAAGCUAGAGAGCAGGUAGCAAAUGCUAAGCAAGAGUAAGGUGAUAACAAUGAUUGUAGCCAGCAGUGGAAUUAGAAUGACAGUCUGGGAUGACUGGCAAAGAGCUAUAGAGAUGAUCAGCCAAAGUGUAGGGUUAAGGGCAGCUUUUGAAGUUAUCCUACACCUGUACAACCAAAACAAACCAAGAAGGGAUAUUUGGA